rnacentral:rRNA from 1 species
UGGCGGACGGGUGAGUAACGCGUGGGUAACCUGCCUUACACAGGGGGAUAACACCUGGAAACAGGUGCUAAUACCGCAUAAGCGCACAGGACCGCAUGGUCCGGUGUGAAAAACUCCGGUGGUAUGGGAUGGAUCCGCGUCUGAUUAGCUGGUUGGUGAGGUAACGGCCCACCAAGGCGACGAUCAGUAGCCGACCUGAGAGGGUGGCCGGCCACAUUGGGACUGAGACACGGCCCAAACUCCUACGGGAGGCAGCAG